rnacentral:rRNA from 1 species
UACGGGGGGGGCAAGCGUUGUUCGGAAUUACUGGGCGUAAAGGGCUCGUAGGCGGCCAACUAAGUCAGACGUGAAAUCCCUCGGCUUAACCGGGGAACUGCGUCUGAUACUGGUUGGCUUGAAUCCGGGAGAGGGAUGUGGAAUUCCAGGUGUAGCGGUGAAAUGCGUAGAUAUCUGGAGGGACACCGGUGGCGAAGGCGGCAUCCUGGACCGGUAUUGACGCUGAGGAGCGAAAGCCAGGGGAGCAAACGGG